GGCCAACGUAGGUACAAACUCCCUAACCAUUGUGAACGUUACCUAAACCGUUGCUUCGGCGGGCGGCCCGGGUCCUUCCCGGCGCCCCUCGGCCCUCGCGGGCGCCCGCCGGAGGUAAACCAAACUAUUGCAUUGUAUGGCCUCUCUGAGUCUUCUGUACUGAAUAAGUCAAAACUUUCAACAACGGAUCUCUUGGUUCUGGCAUCGAUGAAGAACGCAGCGAAAUGCGAUAAGUAAUGUGAAUUGCAGAAUUCAGUGAAUCAUCGAAUCUUUGAACGCACAUUGCGCCCGCCAGUAUUCUGGCGGGCAUGCCUGUUCGAGCGUCAUUUCAACCAUCAAGCCCCGGGCUUGUGUUGGGGACCUGCGGCUGCCGCAGGCCCUGAAAUGCAGUGGCGGGCUCGCUGUCACUCCGAGCGUAGUAGUUACAUCUCGCUCUGGGCGUGCUGCGGGUUCCGGCCGUUAAAAGCCUUAUUUACCCAAGGUUGACCUCGGAUCAGGUAGGAAGACCCGCUGAACUUAAGCAUAUCAAAAGGCCGGAGGAACC
rnacentral:rRNA from 1 species